rnacentral:lncRNA from 1 species
UAUUUAUUUGCAUUGAUUUUGGAUGUUUAAUUGUGCAUUGCAUUACGAUGUCUAAUUGAUUAAUAUGUCUGCAUUUGAUUGCAAUGUUUGAUUAAUUGUGUUGUGAUAUUGCUGUGCUUUGUUUGUGUGGAAUUGGGAUGAAGUGUGCCACCAUGAAUUUGUGAGGACGGUCGAUAAAGCAUGGAUCCUGAUUAUGAUGAAUUAUGAAACUGGACCGUCGG